CCGUCGAUAUCAUGCGGAAGUGCAGACCUGAAACUGCGUUUGAGUGUUUGUUUUAUGUAAAAUACACUAACUGAACCUAAGAUAUGAUACUUUUAUGCGCGCUUUGCAUUUAUUAGAAUAUCUUUGUCGUCUUUUGUCAUCAAGUUAAACAGAGAAAAACCAGUGAAUCUGCUGAAUCACCUCUAUAAGAUGGACAUUUUAGGAAGAUGAGAGAGCCGUCGAAGAAAAAAGGGCAUAUUAUUUCAACGAGAGAAUGAAGAGCCAUUCACACAUGGGCCAACGAUGACAUCAAGUGGAGAAAAAAAGGUAUCUCACUCCAUAAAAAUCCCCCAGUUCCAGUGGAGGCUCCUGUGCCAGUCGCCGGAGGCAACCUCACCAUGUCUGCUGCCAUUUCAGAGAAUGGUGUAGUCACCCACAUUCCCAGUCUUGGCCCAUACAAUACCCAGAAGCACCUGGUGUUCGUGGACCACCUGCACUCCGAUCUUACCCCUCUACAUGAGAGGGGUUUGGUAGGGCCUCACUUGCUUACAUUUGUCAUUGUGUGGGACAAUGUAAGCUUCCACUGUGGCCCAUUCAAGAAUGCUUAUGGUGCUCUUAUCACCUUACUCCCCAUUCCUCAAUCCUAUGGAGGAGUUUUUUUCUGCAUGUAGGUGGAGGGUCUAUGAGCAUUGGGCUCAAAACCAGAGGUCCCUGUUCCAGGCAAUGGAUGCUGUUUGUGAUGAUGUCACAGCAGAUCAGUGUAGGGGAUGGUUGCGGCAUGCCCAAUGGUUCUUCCCCUGUUGCAUUGCAAGGGAGAACAUCAGAUGUGAUGUCGUUGAAGUCUGUGGCCAGACAGACAGGAGACUGAGGACGACAACUAGUGAAACUCCAGCUUUGCUUUACUUUCUUACUCCACCAUGCCACCGCGCUCUGCUCCAUCGCUCUACCCCGUCCUGUUCCAGCCGCAGCUGGUGCUCUACCUACCCCAGACCACACUCCAGCCAACCCACCAAUCAACCUCCAGUCAAAGAAACAAGAAAGGUACAGGCGUCUGCCCACUGCGGGGGAUUGGGGUGCAGGGCAUCGGGUCGAUUCCUGGCUGUGGCAAAUUGUCUUGUUUAAUUUGUCUGUAACCCUCCAGAGCGACAUGAAAAUCUUGCAGAUGUCGGGGGAGGGACGACUUCCAGUUGGCCGAAAACCUCGAAGAGCAAAACUAUUCUCCGUCGACCACGUAGACAUUGUUAAAACAAUUGAAGAAAAAGGGUAUCGCCUCUGGCCUACCCCCCGUUACACCUAUCAACGGUCUGGGUAUGUAAGUCGAAGACACAAAUAAUACACAGCAGCGUUGCUGGGAGAUGUCUGGCUUUUCUAGCUCUCCCAGUCUGUUGGUAAUAUACUCCCAGUACACCUUGACAAGUUGUUCUUGAUCCAUAGCAGGUGGGUAAUCUUCGUUACAUGGAGACUCCAUGUUUAAGAUGAUAUACCUGGGGGGGUAUCCCGCCGAUAAUGUGAAUUUCUCUGACUCUGAGUCUGGUUCACGAAGAGACUGUAUGGAUCUAGGUCCUGUUCACCCUUUCGAAUGACAACAUAAUCCACGGAGAAGUGACCAUAAUCUCCUCUUGAUGUUGCCAUGAUUGAAUUGUGGGCUCCACAGGGUUGUGUCAAAUUAAAUGUGGCUUUUCACUUGAGGAACGAGCCUUAUGUAUGUGACAUUAGUUGGACGGUUGACAAGUCUCUGCGUGAGUUGGAGAAACUAACCGCCUUCGACGGUGGUGUCAAGUUAAAGAUGGUGAAAGAAUGUUGAAACGUUAUAUAUAAUUUAAUAAAUCCAGUCUUUAAUUUGCGGCAGUUAAUCGUUGUCUUGUCUUCUUUCUAUUUCCUAGUGUAAAUAACCAUGUGCUCAAUAGUGGAAAGAUACCUCCAACAGGUCAUUUCCACUUUUAAAACUUCUUUGAAUUCGUCGGUUAUUUGCUCAAACAAUUUGUCAGGAUCGUUGGGUAAAAAUUUAGCCAUCUCGCUGAUCAUUACAAUGUAGUUUCCUUUGAAUUUUCGUAUGACUCCUUCGUAACCUGAAGCUCGUCUAAAAGGAUAUAUGAACAUCAAAGUGUCAGCUUCAGUGUACUUGUCAAUCGAUUCUUGGCAAGAUAACUUUUCGACCAUGUAAUGAGGUGAUUGGAUGUCAGUGAUGUGAACUACCUUUCCUUUGAGUGCUACGUAUCCAAUGUAUGCUUCAGCUAAGCCAUUGCCACUUCCCACUGCCAAGAUGUCAUCCAUUUUCGGAAAGGUCAGGGAUUUCAUCUUUGUUAUCAAAUGUGACAUACAACCAUUUCCGUGAUCGAAACGCAGGCUUGUGUCUUUCAGUAUCUGGCCAACUACAACCGAUACUGUCUUCCAAAAAUCAGAAGGCUCAACGUGAGCAUCAUCCGGCUUGGCAAAACUUAAAAACUGUCGAACGGUAUUUGUCAAUGAUGGAUGGCUGCCAUGUCCACAAACUGACCAUGUAAACACUCUAUCCGACAUUCUGAACUUCUGAUAAGCCGACAAUCUCCAAUUAUGUGACAGUGACUUCUUUUCACUUGAGGAACGAGCCUUAAUAAUGUCACAUUAUAAAGGCUACGCGUUGGGAUGUUGUCAAGUCUCAGGUUGGAUUUACUUUGACGGGUGUGGGUUGGACGAACGAGCUGGUGUGGGUUGGACGAACGAGCUGGUGUGGGUUGGAGGAAAGAGCUGGUGUGGGUUGGACGAACGAGCUGGUGUGGGUUGGAGGAAAGAGCUGGUGUGGGUUGGAGGAACGAGCUGGUGUGGGUUGGAGGAACGAGCUGCCUUGGACGGUUGACAAGUCUGUUUUUUUUCCUUUCACAGGUCUUGACCUGAGACAUGGUGUGGGUGGGAGGAACGAGCAGACUCAGACGGUUGGACUGUUGACAAGUU